rnacentral:misc_RNA from 1 species
AAUUCUUGCUUCUGAGUUGCUGCCAUGGCAAAGCCUGUUUCAAUUGAAGUUUGGAACCCAAGUGGGAAAUACAGAGUUGUUAGCACCAAAUCCAUGCCAGGAACUCGCUGGAUUAAUCUCUUGAUUGCGCAAGAUUGCAGGGUUGAGAUAUGCACAGAGAAGAAAACAAUACUGUCUGUUGAGGAUAUUGUUGCUCUAAUUGGAGAUAAGUGUGAUGGAGUAAUUGGGCAGUUGACAGAAGAUUGGGGAGAGACUUUGUUUGCAGCUUUAAGCAGAGCAGGAGGAAAGGCUUUUAGUAACAUGGCUGUUGGCUACAACAAUGUUGAUGUUAAUGCUGCUAAUAAGUAUGGUGUUGCUGUUGGAAACACUCCUGGGGUUCUUACAGAGACGACAGCAGAGUUAGCAGCUUCGCUUUCCUUAGCAGCAGCUAGAAGAAUAGUUGAAGCCGAUGAGUUUAUGAGGGCAGGCCUAUAUGAUGGAUGGCUUCCUUAUCUUUUUGUGGGAAAUUUGCUCAAAGGACAGACUGUUGGUGUUAUUGGAGCAGGUCGUAUUGGAUCUGCUUAUGCCAGAAUGAUGGUUGAAGGUUUCAAAAUGAAUCUAAUUUACUAUGAUCUUUACCAAGCCACACGCCUGGAGAAGUUUGUUACAGCAUAUGGUGCAUUUUUACAAGCAAACGGCGAGCAGCCAGUUACAUGGAAAAGAGCAAGCAGCAUGGAUGAGGUGCUUCGUGAGGCAGAUGUGAUAAGUCUACACCCAGUCUUGGAUAAGACCACNAUUUGAUCAACAAAGAAAGGCUUUCAACAAUGAAGAAGGAAGCAAUCCUUGUAAACUGUAGUAGGGGUCCAGUGGUUGAUGAAGUAGCUCUUGUGGAACAUUUGAAACAAAAUCCCAAGUUUCGAGUCGGUCUUGAUGUCUUCGAGGAUGAACCAUACAUGAAGCCUGGGCUGGCUGAACUGAAGAAUGCCAUUGUAGUACCUCACAUUGCUUCUGCUUCUAAGUGGACUCGCGAAGGAAUGGCAACUCUAGCAGCUCUGAAUGUCCUGGGAAAGAUUAAAGGAUACCCGAUAUGGGGCAAUCCAAAUCAAGUAGAGCCAUUCUUGAAUGAAAAUGCUUCUCCUCCAGCAGCAAGUCCAAGUAUUGUGAAUGCAAAAGCCUUGGGUUUACCUGUUUCAAAACUAUAGAGCUUCCAGGCUGAAUCACCUAGGGGACUUGUGGUUCUUGUUAUAUCAAUCUGAGCAUUGGGUAUGGGCUCAACUGAGAUUUCAGUUAUCAGAAGCAUUAGCAACCAAAUGCGGAGGAAGAGUAAUAUUGGCAUUAUAGCUUUAUGAUGUUGCAAUGACUGGUUUUAAAUU